GACGAACGCUGGCGGCGUGCUUAACACAUGCAAGUCGAACGGAAAGGCCCUGCUUUUGUGGGGUGCUCGAGUGGCGAACGGGUGAGUAACACGUGAGUAACCUGCCCUUGACUUUGGGAUAACUUCAGGAAACUGGGGCUAAUACCGGAUAGGAGCUCCUGCUGCAUGGUGGGGGUUGGAAAGUUUCGGCGGUUGGGGAUGGACUCGCGGCUUAUCAGCUUGUUGGUGGGGUAGUGGCUUACCAAGGCUUUGACGGGUAGCCGGCCUGAGAGGGUGACCGGCCACAUUGGGACUGAGAUACGGCCCAGACUCCUGCGGGAGGCAGCAGUGGGGAAUAUUGCACAAUGGGCGGAAGCCUGAUGCAGCAACGCCGCGUGCGGGAUGACGGCCUUCGGGUUGUAAACCGCUUUCGCCUGUGACGAAGCAUGAGUGACGGUAAUGGGUAAAGAAGCACCGGCUAACUACGUG
rnacentral:rRNA from 1 species